rnacentral:rRNA from 1 species
AGUGAACGCUGGCGGUAGGCCUAACACAUGCAAGUCGAACGGCAGCACAGUAAGAGCUUGCUCUUACGGGUGGCGAGUGGCGGACGGGUGAGGAAUACAUCGGAAUCUACUUUUUCGUGGGGGAUAACGUAGGGAAACUUACGCUAAUACCGCAUACGACCUACGGGUGAAAGCAGGGGAUCUUCGGACCUUGCGCGAUUGAAUGAGCCGAUGUCGGAUUAGCUAGUUGGCGGGGUAAAGGCCCACCAAGGCGACGAUCCGUAGCUGGUCUGAGAGGAUGAUCCGCCACACUGGAACUGAGCCACGGUCCAGACUCCUACGGGGGGCAGCAGUGGGGAAUAUUGGACAAUGGGGGCAAGCCUGAUCCAGCCAUACCGGGUGGGUGAAGAAGGCCUUCGGGUUGUAAAGCCCUUUUGUUGGGAAAGAAGAGCAGCAGGUUAAUCCCCCGCUGUUCUGACGGUACCCAAAGAAUAAGCACCGGCUAACUUCGUG